rnacentral:sRNA from 1 species
UAGGAGGCGUCCAUGGAACGAAGUUCCAUUCAGGAUGACGACGACCUGCCGCCGAACGGAUGUGAGGGGGCGAUACCAU